CACUGGCUUUGCUGGUUCCUCCUUUCUGAAGAACUGUAAUGCCAUUAAUUUGGUGUUGCAGGGAAACAGGACUGUUACUUUGAAAAAAUUAGAGUGUUUAAAGCAGGCUAACGCUUGAAUACAUUAGCAUGGAAUAAUGAAAUAGGACGUUCGAUCCUAUUUUGUUGGUUUCUAGGAUUGACGUAAUGAUUAAUAGGGAUAGUUGGGGGCAUUAGUAUUCAAUUGUCAGAGGUGAAAUUCUUGGAUUUAUUGAACACUAACUACUGCGAAAGCAUUUGCCAAGGAUGUUUUCAUUAAUCUUUAACGAAAGUUAGGGGAUCGAACACGAUCAGAUACCGUCGUAGUCUUAACCAUAAACUAUGCCGACUAAGGAUCGGAUGAUGUUAAUUUUUUAAUGACUCAUUCGGCGCCUUACC
rnacentral:rRNA from 1 species